CUUCAGGAGAGGCCGCUCUGCUCCACCUCUCGUUGGUUCCGGAGGUCGCUGAGGCUGUGGGAAAUGCUGGCGCGCGCGGCGCGGGGCACUGGAGCCCUUUUGCUGAGGGGCUCCGUGCAGGCUUCUGGCCGCAUUCCGCGCCGCGCCUCCUCUGGACUGCCCCGAAACACCGUGAUACUGUUUGUGCCUCAGCAGGAGGCCUGGGUGGUGGAGCGAAUGGGCAGAUUCCACCGGAUCCUGGAACCUGUGAGAACCUCUCGCCCACCUUCAGCCAGUCAAAUCGUCUUGUGGGAGUGGGACUUCCUUGGGGCCUGUCUGCACUUUUAACUACAGGGACCAACCCUAGCAGGGACCAGUUCUACCAGAGCCCAGUCUCCUGACCAUCCUUGUUUCCCUGCUUUCCUAUUAACUUAGUAACUCACAGGCUUCAUUCCUGGGGCUACCAUACUCUUAGCCCUACCUGCCUGCCUCAAGGUAGCAGUUCCUGUUGACUUCUAUUCUGCUGACGUUCAGAGGCCUAGUCUUUCGUUCUUGGACUCUUAGGUUUCCCUACCAGUGACACCUCAGCCUUUGAGGACAUGUCUUGGUAGGAGGGAUUGCGUUUCCAUGUUCUAUCCAUAACUCAUUACUUACUCCAGCUUAACUUAGAUUUCCUGUGUAUUACUCUCACAUUCUGAGAAUCAAUGACUCCUCUUCCCAGGGCUUGAACGUCCUCAUCCCCGUGUUAGACCGAAUCCGGUAUGUGCAGAGUCUCAAGGAAAUUGUUAUCAACGUGCCUGAGCAAUCAGCUGUAACUCUUGGUGAGAGAUAUGGGGUGGCAGGGAUGUGCUAAAGUGCAUUAGGAUGUGGUUGCUAUAGGUCCAAGGCUUAGGAGAAAGGGCCGGUUGGGACUUAGAGACCUGACCACCCUCUUUUUCUCUUCUCUUUGCUCCUGCAGAUAAUGUAACUCUACAAAUAGAUGGAGUCCUUUAUCUGCGCAUUAUGGAUCCUUACAAGGCAAGUUAUGGUGUGGAAGACCCCGAGUAUGCGGUCACCCAGUUAGCUCAGACGACUAUGAGAUCAGAGCUUGGCAAACUCUCUCUGGACAAAGUUUUUCGGGAACGUGAGUCCCUGAACGCCAACAUUGUGGACGCCAUCAACCAGGCUGCUGACUGCUGGGGUAUCCGAUGCUUGCGUUAUGAGAUCAAGGAUAUCCACGUGCCACCCCGAGUCAAAGAGUCCAUGCAGAUGCAGGUAGAGGCAGAG
rnacentral:lncRNA from 1 species